rnacentral:rRNA from 1 species
CCUACGGGAGGCAGCAGUGAGGAAUAUUGGUCAAUGGCCGCAGGGCUGAACCAGCCAAGUCGCGUGAGGGAUGACGGUCCUAUGGAUUGUAAACCUCUUUUGUCAGGGAGCAAAGGGCGCCACGUGUGGCGUUUUGCGAGUACCUGAAGAAAAAGCAUCGGCUAACUCCGUGCCAGCAGCCGCGGUAAUACGGAGGAUGCGAGCGUUAUCCGGAUUUAUUGGGUUUAAAGGGUGCGCAGGCGGAAUGUCAAGUCAGCGGUAAAAUUUCGGGGCUCAACCCCGUCGUGCCGUUGAAACUGGCGGUCUUGAGUGAGCGAGAGGUAUGCGGAAUGCGUGGUGUAGCGGUGAAAUGCAUAGAUAUCACGCAGAACUCCGAUUGCGAAGGCAGCAUACCGGCGCUGAACUGACGCUGAUGCACGAAAGCGUGGGUAUCGAACAGGAUUAGAUACCCCUGUAGUC